CUCAGUUCGGAUCGGAGUCUGCAACCCGACUCCGUGAAGCUGGAUUCGCUAGUAAUCGCGCAUCAGCCAUGGCGCGGUGAAUACGUUCCCGGGCCUUGUACACACCGCCCGUCAAGCCAUGGGAGCCGGGAGUGCCUGAAGGCCGUGACCGCAAGGAGCGGCCUAAGGUAAAACUGGUGACUGGGGCUAAGUCGUAACAAGGUAUC
rnacentral:rRNA from 1 species